CCCACUGGUAGGUGGAGCUGAUUCUAAUCCCUCUGGUGGGUGGGGCUUAGUCUCUGGAUGGGAUUAGAGGCAGCUGUGUGCCUGAGGGGUCUUUAGGUAGCCUGUUUACUGAGGGGUGGGGCUGUGAUCCCACCUGGAUUGUUGUUUGCCCUGGGGCUUCUCAGCGCUGACUGAUGGGUGGGGCCAGAUUUUCCCAAAAUGGCCACCUCCAGAGAAAGGCAGCUGCUGAAUAUUCCCGAGAGCUUUGCCUUCAAUGUCCUUCCCUCACAACAAGCCACAUUCACCCCUGUUUUCCCAGGAUGUCCUCCAAGAACUGCAGUCAGGUUUGACCCAGAUUCCUAUGGAGACCUCGCUCUGCCCUGGGACCCAGUGCACGUGAAAGUCUGUGUGCGCCUUUUAAGAAUGGGGUCUCCGUUUCCCCCAGUCCUGUGGAGCUCCUGUGCACAAGCCCCACUGGCCUUCAAUGCCAGAUGCUCCAGGGGCUCUUUCUCCCAGUGACAGAUCCCAGCAUGUGAGGGUUUGAUGUGGGGCCCAGAGCUCUCACUCCUGUAGGUGAGUCUCUGUGAGCCAGUUAGUUUUCAGUCUGUGGAGCUUCCCACCCGGGAGGUAUGGGGUUGUUUAUAUCACGAAAUUGCCCCUCCUACCUCUUGAUGUGUCCUCCUCUUUUUCUUCUGGAGUAGGGUAUGGGUUUCCGGCCCAUUUGGGUGGAGAUUUUUCAGUCUUUAGUUGUGAAUUUUGUUGUUUUUAAGAGAGAAGUUGAGCUCCAGUCCUUCUAUUCCACCAUCUUAAUCCCAUCUCCCAAUAAAGUAAAUUUUAAAAGAGAGAGAGAGGAGAAGGAAUGCAUUUGUCCAAGAAUUCCCAAUUCCUUCUCCCAAGUUCACCAAUCAAAUGAGUUCUUCCUUGGGGAAGGAAUUAAUAAGAGAGUAGAGUGAAGUCUAGGGUAUUUCUCAGGUCGAGCCCCCUUCUAUGAAAUCUUGAGGGAAUAAGCAGUCCAUCAAGACACCAGGCAGAAAUCACACAAUGUUUGUAAAACAAAGUAUUGAGUGGUAUACAUGAACUCUACAACUUCCCAUUAGUCAACAUGGUCUGGAAAAGCACCAAGAUGUUGCUGUCCAGGGCAAAAAAAUCAAAACAAAACAAAAGCAAAAAACCAUAUGGGUUUUCUUUUUCUGAGAUAAUUUCAGCAGUACCUCUGCUACCUUGCCUAACUCCCGGUAGAGAUUUUUGAGAACUGUCUGCUCAUCUCCUAAAAUAGGAUUUAAGUUUGAGUACAUGCUUGUGAUACCUGAAGAUGGCUAUCUUAACGACAGAUGGGAAUAGGGCCCAUGUUGUAGAGGGAAUAUAUAAAUUACAGAUUCAGAAGGCCCCUAGAGGUAUGGCUGGGUUGGGUCCUAACACCCAGGCUUCUCCCAAACUGCCUGGGAAUACCACAGAUGUGUAUGGCUCUACUACCUAAUUAAUGAGGCAAAUUUGGGGACCUCGUGAUGCUCAGUCCUAAUGAAUACAUACAGUAAGUUAAGGCAGGGUGCUUCCAUUUAGAUAUGCUGAUGAAUGUAAUUUUAAUUUGUUUCCAUAUUCUCUCCAAAACAAUUGAUGUUUCACAAUCUGGAAAAAAUGGUAGGGGACUGGGAGUGUUAGAAAUGGGCUUUCUCCCCAAGACAAUUCACCUGAAACAGGAACCCUCAUGAAAAUAAGUAAAAUAUAAAAAUUACCACUUGAUGCAGAUUAGAAAAGGCUUCUUGUGCUUAUGAUGAAGUCCUGCUGGGCCUGGACCAUUCUAUGCUCAAGGACUCUUAAAGUUGUUUGUUCUUUUAGUUUGUUAUUCCUUCCUUUGAGUUUAUUUUUAAUGGCUGUUGUUUAUAAGAACAAUGCAUUUGAAAGCAAGUUAGGAUAGAAUUAGGAUAUAAAGAUAUUAUAGCCAGCUCUGUUGAAUAACUAGCUGAGCUUGGAGGUUAUAACAAAGGUUGGGAUAAAGAAUUAAUCAUGCUUUCGAGGAAUUCAAAGCUUAUAUCAUCUGGGGUAUCCCCUUUAAUAAAAAUAAUUCAAGUUAAGACUAUAAAAUUAGGUAGUGGGCCUUAGAAAAGGUCAGUGGAAUUGGGGGAACUUAAAGCUUAAGUUUCAUUGAUUUCAUGGUAAAUUGACCUUUGUUGGGAGCAAAAUGUUAUUAAAAAUCCAUAUAUGACCUGAUAAUUUAUAUUAAGUUUUAUGUAAACAUGAGCAGGCCAUUGAUCAGUGGCUUAUGUGUUUUGUAGUGGAGAAAAGUAAUUAUGGACGAUAUACUGGUUACAGGUAUAUAAGUCUUCUAGGGCUGUUGUCAUAAAAUACCACAAUAAUAGAAAUUUAUAGAUACCAGCUCUGGAGGCUAGGAGCCCAAGAUCAAGGACACGACUAUAUUGGGUUAGGAUCCACCCUAAGGACCUAUUCUUUACUCGAUCAUCUGCAAAAGUCUCAUUUCCAAAUAAGGUCACAGUCACAGUACUGGCGGUUAAGAAUUCAACAUCUUUGUGAGAGGGUGGGCACAGUUCAAUUCAUAACAACAGGUGACACAGUAUUAAUAUAUGAUCUCUUAAGAAAGUCAGUGUCCUCAGGUGAAGAUGCUCUGGCCUAUCCCUUACAGCCUUGCUAUUCAAGUAGGUGGACAUGUGUUCAGACAAUGUCAGAAUUUGUCAUUUUAUUAAUGUAAAGUCAAUUUGGAGAGUAAAUCUAUGUGAAUCCUUUCCAUUAUGUAUCUGACAAACACCUAUGGAGCCUUCAAAAUGUUGCUGAGGUAUCACCUUCUUGGAGACACUAUUUCUAUCCCACUUUUCUUCAGAUACACCCUGUCUUUCAUGCCACUACCUCUCCCUGGAAAGGCGAGUUCAUGGACUACAUCACCUAGAUUCUCAAGUUUUGUGACUUCAAGCUGGGUUCAUUUGUGGGGACCUCUGGGAGAAGAUAGGGAAAAGGCAAGAGGGUGAGGUCUUGGGAUAUAUUCCCCCAGAUUCUUCCUGUGAUCUCAUGUCUGGCCUUAUCUCCAAUGAAGACCACUGUUCCUUUCAAGGCUUCUGGUGCUACACAAAAUUUUCUCCCCUGGUACUUUCUCCUGUCCUUUGGACCUUGGAUGAUAAUAGCUCAGCUUCUUCUAUGCCGUGGAUGAAGGUUCUUUGCCCUGUAUUUCUUUACACCUACACUUUUCUUUUAAAAAUAUUCUCCUAGAAUUAUUCUAAGUUCCCCAUCUGCUUUGUGUUGGGACUUUGACUGAUACCUGCUCCAUUCCACAAAUGAAUGACUCCCUCUUCUAUCUUUCCACUAUAUUGGACUUAAUUCUGUUUAUCUAUAAUAUUAUACUUUAUUGCAAUCUGUGUAUAUAGCAGUCUACACCCACCUGACUCAUGUACUAGGCUAAGAAGAACAAGCUACCAAGUUAGAACCACGGCAGAAGCACUACUAGUAACAAAGAUAGAGUACCUGUCCAAUUUGAAAUUUAUGUACUCAGUUACAGUGACUAAAUCUGGAAUUUGAUUACAUUUGCCUCCUCCUCCAAUUAUCCCCCUUCUUUGGCAAUUGACGUUUAGAAGUAGCCAAGCUAGCAUGUUUAAGUUAUUUCCAGAUGGUAGGUCUUCCAUAUACGGCACAAUUUUUUAUCAAAAUUAAGUCAUUGAAAAGCUAUAAUCACAGUGAGAAGAAAAGGCGAAGUCUUAGGAAGUAGUAGCUUCAUUCUAUACAGUUAGUUAUACAAGAAACACCAAUCUCUUUUUCCAUAAAUCAACCCAUUUCAUAGGUUUAGAGGAAAAUUUGACCUUGGCUGCUUUCCAUGGUCCACUUCUGGAAUUUUACGCAGAGACAAGGUGUUUGGAAAGGAUGCUCUGGGACUAGUCAUGAGUCAUUUUUCCACAGAGUUAUGCCAAGACCUUACUGUUCUGGAAACUCUCAGUUUCAUCUGUUUCAGGAUUAGGGCCUUGGCAUCCUUCUUUGAAGCUUCCUCUGUUCCCAUUGGCUUAGACAUGCCUGGUAAACCAUCUUAUUUCUGAAGCCCUUCCUCACUAUCAAGCUAUAUAGAAGCUGUAUCCCCGUCCUUCCUUGCUCUCCCUUUUGAAUAUUCAACCCUCAACCAAAGAUAUAUUUCUUCCCUUCUACAUUUUUUACUAAGGCAUUUUAUCUGUAGCCCAGUCUUCCUUCUUGAGCUGUUGGGCCUAUCUACUGAGAUCCCCCAGAGAUUUACCAUGAUGGAACAGAAAAGCCACAGAAAAUUAUGUCUUCAACUUUGAUGGUAGGGGCAGAAGACCAGAAGAUCAAGGAGGUAAUAAAAGGUGAAAAAUCCUCCACAGUGAUUUGCACUUUAAAAUAUUAUCCUACUAAAUUGUCAUACAUUGAGUUGGAGAGGUAUGUGCAUGGAUGUGAAGAGAAAUGAAGCAGGAAUCUCAAGCUAGUGAUGCUAGGACUAGGUUACGAAGGGGCUGCAGACAGAUGGAGGUAAGGCAGCUGAGAAUUCCAGCCCUAAUCAGAAUCGAGUUAACUCCAGGCCUUGUUUAGGGUUGAUUCUACAAGGACGGACAUUCCCUCAAAAGGACUAGGGCAUUCUUGAGGAGAGAUGUGACCACACAUGAACUAGGGAGGACAAUUCAGCAGUGUCACCUUUUCAUGAAAGUUUACAUCAAAGUGCCUGAGUAACAGGGUGAGAACUCAUGAUAUACUUCUUCAGUUUAGCCAGAGGUUCUCAAUAAUAGGAAA
rnacentral:lncRNA from 1 species